UACGAAGGGGGCUAGCGUUGCUCGGAAUACUGGGCGUAAAGCGUGCGCAGGCGGCUUGCAAGACAGAUGUGAAAUCCCCGGGCUCAACCUGGGAACUGCAUUUGUGACUGCAAGGCUGGAGUACGGUAGAGGGGGAUGGAAUUCCGCGUGUAGCAGUGAAAUGCGUAGAUAUGCGGAGGAACACCGAUGGCGAAGGCAAUCCCCUCGGACCUGUACUGACGCUCAUGCACGAAAGCGUGGGGAGCAAC
rnacentral:rRNA from 1 species